rnacentral:lncRNA from 1 species
UCCAAAUGGGGAAGAGAAAGAAAGUAGAUUUAAGCACACUCUAAUAGGAGAAAAUUUGGAAUCAUCUCUCAUAUGUCCUUCUUUUUCAUCCCCUGCAUAUGACUUGAGUGCAUGCCUAUUGGGAAGAGGAAAAGAAAAAGAAAAAUGAAGACAAUGAAGAACAAAACAAAUAGAUUUAACAGAGAUGGAAGACGAUAGUGUGUCAUAAACUGAGAAAUUUAACUUUUUCCUUUACAUCUGAGGUUAUAAAAGAGAAAGAAAAUGGAAGAGGAAAAAAAAAGGUAGAAGUUAUAGAAGAAGAAGAGAGGCAGGAGCAAAUAUGUUAAUCCUGUGCUGCGUAAAUUGUUAAGGAUAUCAUUUUAGGUAAAUGUUUAACUCAAAGCAAAAGUGAAGUCAACUUUCUCAGAACAUCCACUGACACCAGUGUGUUCAGGGGAUGGGAAUGGUAAGAGUUUCCCUUGUGCUUUCAGCAAACAUGCUGCUCGUUCUCAUUCAUCACAGGCUCCCUAUGCACAUCCUGGCAAUGAAAGUCUCUGAUUUUAUUAAUUCAGAAUUGUUUUUCUGAUAAAAGUAUUUGUGUCAUGACAUGCCCAUAUGACUUUGAAUACAUUUGAUGAACUAUUAGAAUCUUAAAAGAGUACUUUGGGUAUAUUGAGUGUGAUUAGAAAAAGUGCUACUGAUUGCCCUACAGCUAAACUCUUUAUUAAUUUGUACCAUGCAAUUUCUCGUUUGAAAUUCAUAGGCAUUUAGAAAAUUAAUUCUUCACAGAGAGAGAAUAAUUCAGGUGGUGAACUCAGUAGAAGAAAGGCCUUUUGGGUAUUUACUUUGGACACAUUAUCCCCAGCAGACCUGAGUGAAGAGCACUCUGAACAAUUUGCUGCAAGAAUUCUUUCAGCAAUUCAAGUUCAGACAUUGGCCUUCAUAAGCUUAUGGUGAAUGAAUAAUUCUUGCAUUUACAUAGGUCUUUGCAUUUCAGAGUCCUAAAGUACUUUGCAUCGUACACCUGAUUUAAGUGGGCAGAAGAAUGAAAUCUCAGAGGCUAGGGGCAAAGCAACCUUGAUCUAUUAAUGACAAAGACAGAAAAAAAAAAAAAAGAAAGAAAGAAAGAAGAAGAGAAAAAAAACCCACCAGUUCUUCCUCAGUGGUAGAAAUCAGUGUUGACAGGAUAAUCUUUCACAGAGAAGCCCACUGUGAUAUCACAAGCAUAAGAUUAUAGGCAAAUUUUCUGCCAGCCAGUUAUGUGAAAACUUCAAACUGAAUUCUGUUCUUGGUGAUUUCAACUCAGUUCUCACAGGGGUAUUGUGGCAGAAAUAUCAAAGUGCAAAAUUGACUUUGGAGCAUAAGGAUAUGAAAUAAGAUCUGGUUUCCAUAGAAAAGGCAGUGGAAUGAUUAAACUCAUAUGCAAUAACUAUUUAAUGGUUCCAUGUUUUUUCACAUAACUCAAAGUAACAAAAAUAAAUUCACAGGGCAUCACAAAAUCAGUGUAUAUCCAGCUGAAACCAUAGUUCGAAGAUACUAAUCUCUAAGAUUUUUUCAAAGCGAGUAAGAACAGACAUACCUUGGAACUCAGUCUUGGCCAGUAGAGUAUAAUGUGGCUUUAUACUGUAUGUAUUUAUAUGUAUAGCUACACACUUAUACUUUUAGAAUACAACACAAUAACACUAAUGCACAGACUUCAUACACACACACACAUAGACGCACACCAUGGGCAGCUUCCUGUGAAAUAAAAGCAUAAAUUUGGUGACACUUGAAUUAAACACACUUGUGUCUUUAUUUUUGCAAAAAAUCAAUAUUCAGUUGACUAGAGAACAUUAACAGUAUCUGUCAGGUAAAAUAUUUUAAGUUUUGUUUAUUAUAUUACCAUUGUUCAUGCUGACCAAAAUUCUUAGAAAAGUUAGUGGAUGAUACCUUAAAACAUUCUUUUCAAGUCUGUGGUUUCUCCUUUCUCUGUAAACAUGUUUUAAUAUUGAGACUAAGCCAGUCAUGGAGAGACUGAUUUUUUAAGUUGAUGAUUACAUUGUUCAUGACACUAUUGGCAAAUCAAAACUCUCUCCUGAGCCAAGGAAAGGGACAAAGUGUAUCUGUUUGCUUUUUGUUGGUGAUGUAUUAAGA